GAACACUAACCACAUGCUCCACUUUGAGCUGAUCUCCUGUUUUUACUUUGUUAUAUAUCUGAAAAGGGGAUACAAAUACAAGUUUACAGCUGCAACUGUAAAGUGUCUGUUCUUAUCAAAGAACCACACUGGAUGACAGCGUCAAACCGCAUACCUACUUUUCUGAUUUUAUCGCUACUGAACAACAAGGGAUUUCUCUUUGAGAACAGGAAUCUCCAUGGACUUGUAAGUAGAUGUCAGUGAGCAGAGAUAUCUCGUGGACCAGAAAACCACUGAAAACCACGAAGUAAAGAGGAACACAAAAUGAUGUUUUCAGGAUUCAGCGUAAACCAAAUAGGACAAGACCGACUCACAUCAUCAAAUCAAGAGGAGGAAAAGGAACUUCAGCUGUGAAGUUCAGAAAUGAAAUAUUCAUUACAAAAAAAUAAUAAGUCAAUGACUCAAUAGAGAUGUAUAAUUAGUUCUAUUUUUAAUGAGAAACAAAUGUGAUGACUUCUUAAAAAUAUUCUGAAAUACACAGGAGUCCCACAACUGUAUAUAGAUCUAUUAUGCAGUACACUUAAUUUCGAAUGUAAGUACUCCAUCCAACACUGAUAAACAAAUACCUUUUUAAAAGUAAAGUGGCAUAUGUAAGAAUAUGACUUUAUUAAAAGUGCAAAGAUCAUUAAAAGUGAACCAGCUAAUGCUUUUUUUGCAUUGGAAGUCUGGCUACUAACUAGCUGCUAUACUGCAGGUUUUAGCAGUACUAAACAAUACGCAGGAAAAAAGUCAAGUAACUUAAAUUUCUCAGAGCUUUUGAAAUGUAGUUUUAAACACUAAUCCAGUGGUAAUGGGCAAUUUAGGGGAGGGGAAUGGAAACCAGGACAAAAUGCAUUAGGACUGGUAAGCAGUUCUGUAUUAUUACAGAACCAUCUGCUGUGGAAAUAGCACCUUUCAUUUGAAAGCGUUCAGGUUAACCCUUGCUUUUCAGAUCAAGUAACUAAGUGGCCUGCCUGUGGAAAGAUCUGAUUGUUUCCUGUAAUCUAAUAUAGGUGAAACAAAGGUUUUUUUAGAUUAAAGCCUAUAAUUAAUCCGGAGUUUAACUCUGCAUUUGUAAAAUCAAAUGAUUUUCCUAUUUAAAAAAGCAGGAGAUUAAAAAUAUUACAUAUUCCUCAGGUACAUGCAAUAGAAAACAAACUUUUCAGUAUUCCAAAUAAAUAUCAAGCAGCAACACAUUAUGCAAAUGUCAGUUUAAAGGGAACAAAGUUGGCCAGUUUUCUUUUUCUAAAACCCAGGUCAGUUGCUUUUUCCAUGUCAAAUACCUCUGUUACAAUGCACAAAUAU